rnacentral:lncRNA from 1 species
GGUUUUGAUUGUGUCGACGGGGAACAUCGACAUGUGCUCCACCAUGCCGGCGGUCGAGCCGACGACCAUGAACUGCCAGAAGUGAAGUCCGUCGUGCUCCACCGCGGCGGCGGCGACGAUUGCAGGUUGAUAAUCGGGCUGGUGCGGCACGGCGAGGAGGUCCGGCUUCUGAAAUUUCGGGGAUGCGUCGGUGGCCAUGGGAGAUUGGAAGAAAACGAUCUAGGGUUGAACAAUUCUGUAUCGGAGAAAGGGCUUAUCGCCAUAAACAGGAAUUCAUAUGUAUAGAUUUGGUAUUGA